AGUCACUCCUUCAGCAGCCGCACAAGGCACACGCCUCGGGGAAGCCGGGCACAGGCUGGGGUUGCCUCCCUCCUGCCCCUGCCCUGCCUCCUGCCCCAGCAGACAGUGAAUAAGCCACCUGGUUGGCCCAGCUUCCCGCAGUCCCACUUCUCAAGCUAGGGUACAUGUAUCUAGGAGGACAGGACUGUGUCGCUGGGAGGUAGAGUGAGACGGAUGACAGGAGCCACAGAAUCAAAACAGCACAAUCGACUCAUCAGUUCUUUAACUUGUAAGUUCAAGUCAAACAUUACUUUUUAUUUUGCUUUACUUACUUGUUUUUUGAGACAGGGUCUUCUCUGUCGCCCAGGCUGGAGUGCAGUGGCACAGUCAUGGUUCACUACAGCCUCCAACUCCUGGGCUCCAGUGAUCCUCCUGCUUUAGCCUCCCAAGUAGCUGGGACCACAAGCAUGCAACACCAUAGCUAACUUUUUUUUUUUUUUAAGAGACAGGGUCUCACUAUGUUGCCCAGGCUGGUCUCAAACUCCUGGGCCCAAGCAAUCUUCCCACCUUGGCCGCCCAAAGUGCUGAAACUAUAGGUUUGAGCCACUGUGCCUGGCCAAACAUUACUUUUUAUAAUAAGACGAAUAUUUUUUUCUGAAAUAAGGCCCAAUGAAGCCCACCUUGUUUGUGUUUAAGAAGCCAUGACCAAAAAGAGCACUACCCAUUCCUGCCCAGGCUUGUUGCAGUCACCCAUUUAAUCGCUCAUUCAACUUGAGUGUACUUAUGGGGCUCUGGCCAACUGCCAGAUGAGAAAGACGCAAGCCCCUCUCAGGAACUCACAGUGUAGCGAGGAGGUAAUAGGUUAAUGCGUGGUUUCCAGGGAGAAGUUGGAGCUCAGAUAGGGGUCAGCAGGAGUGGUUAGGGAAGCCCAGAGAAAAGACCCCAACCCAGCUAGGCACAGCUAAAGAGAGACAGUAG
rnacentral:lncRNA from 1 species